rnacentral:rRNA from 1 species
ACAUGCGCAUCGCGCAAGUGGCGGACGGGUGAGUAAUGUCUGGGAAACUGCCUGAUGGAGGGGGAUAACUACUGGAAACGGUAGCUAAUACCGCAUACCAUCGGAUGUGCCCAGAUGGGAUUAGCUAGUAGGUGGGGUAAAGGCUCACCUAGGCGAAGAUCCCUAGCUGGUCUGAGAGGAUGACCAGGCACCAUGUAACGGAGAAACGGUCCAGAUUCGUACGUGAGUGAGCAGUGGGGAAUAUUGUACAAGUGGCGCAAUCCUGAUGCAGCACUGCCGCGUGUAUGAAGAAGGCCUGCGGGUUGGAAAGCACUUUCAGCGAGGAGGCGUUACUCGCAGAAGAAGCACCGGCUAACUCCGUGCAAGCAGCCGCGGUAAUUC